GUCCGGGGCAGAAGCCUGGGGAGUCAUCAGUCUGCCGUUUACAAAUGGGGAAACUGAGGCCUGGAGGCAGGGACUAUAUCUGGGCUAUAAGCCCUCUUGCCUGAACCCCCAGAGCCGGUGGUGCUUGGUGCGAAGUGUAAAACGAACAAUACUCAGGGUCCAGAUGACCAGAAUCGAGUAACUGCUCCAGCUCACCCUGGGAGCCCCUGAACCCGGGCCCACCUGGGUUAGAAUUGUUUCUCUGUGUGUCUCCUCAGGCUGUAAGUUCUUUGGGAACAAGUGUAGACUUCAUCGUAUUUCUGUGACUCACUAACUCAGCCAGGCCCAGAACAGCAUUUCAACACACAGGUAGCAAGACUCCUGCACUAGAGAAACCCUUGCAACUGUACACAAGGAGCCUGACCAAGAUCUUGAUGGCAGCAGUGAUGUGAGGGAAAGAAACUGGAAAUAGUCUACAGGUCCAUCAAGAGAAGGAUGGCGCCCUAACCGGUUUGGCUCAGUGGAUAGAGCGUCGGCCUGCAGACUGAAAGGUCCCAGGUUCGAUUCCGGUCAAG